rnacentral:rRNA from 1 species
AUUGAACGCUGGCGGUAUGCUUUACACAUGCAAGUCGAACGGUAGUCCUUCGGGAUGAGAGUGGCGAACGGGUGAGUAAUAUAUCGGAACAUAUCCGUAAGUGGGGGAUAACGUAGAGAAAUUUACGCUAAUACCGCAUAUUCCCUGAGGGGGAAAGGAGGGGAUCGCAAGACCUUUCGCUAACGGAGUGGCCGAUAUCGGAUUAGCUAGUAGGUGAGGUAAAGGCUCACCUAGGCUACGAUCCGUAGCGGGUCUGAGAGGAUGAUCCGCCACACUGGAACUGAGACACGGUCCAGAUUCCUACGGGAGGCAGCAGUGGGGAAUUUUGGACAAUGGGCGAAAGCCUGAUCCAGCCAUACCGCGUGAGUGAAGAAGGCCUUCGGGUUGUAAAGCUCUUUCGGACAGAAAGAAAUCCUAUUCGCUAAUACCGAAUGGGGGUGACGGUACUGUAAGAAGAAGCACCGGCUAACUACGUGCCAGCCGCCGCAGUAACAC